GUAGUUAGGUUCACAUCAAUCCACGUAUAUUGAUUUGGAUUGGAGUAGAAUUUGAACUAAAUUGUACUCCAAUCCACACUAACACAUAUGGAUUGAAUUGAAUACGACA
rnacentral:pre_miRNA from 1 species